CGAGUGCAUGCAUUCUUCUACUCCCGGGGAACCCUGUGCGGUAGACCCUUUAUUUUCAUGGAAUUAAAGUGUUUCACGCAAGCAUCGCUUUGAAUACUACAGCAUGCAAUAAUACAAUAAGACUUUAGGCCGAUUUGUUGGUUUCGGGCCUGGAGUAAUGAUUAAUGGGGACAGUUGGGGGCAUUCGAAUUGGACAGAUACCGGGGAAAUGUGAUGAUUUGUUCAAGAAGAACUACUGCGAAAACAUUUGCCAAAGAUGUUUUCAUUAAUCAAGAACGAAAGUUUGGGGAUCGAAGACGAUAACAUACCGUCGUAGUCUUAACCAUAAACUAUGCCGACUAGAGAUUGGAGGUUGUUCCUUACGCC
rnacentral:rRNA from 1 species